GACGAACCGUGCGAACGUUAUUCGGAAUCACUGGGCUUAAAGCGCGUGUAGGCGGGAGGGCACGUCCGUUGCUGAAAUCCCCCGGCUCAACCGGGGAACGGGCGCGGAUACGACUCUCCUUGAGGGGCGUAGGGGGACCUGGAACUUCCGGUGGAGCGGUGAAAUGCGUUGAGAUCGGAAGGAACGCCCGUGGCGAAAGCGAGGUCCUGGACGCCUACUGACGCUGAGACGCGAAAGCCAGGGGAGCGAAUGGG
rnacentral:rRNA from 1 species